CCCUUAGAUGUUCUGGGCCGCACGCGCGCUACACUGAUGCAUUCAACGAGCCUAUCCUUGACCGACAGGUCCGGGUAAUCUUUGAAUCUGCAUCGUGACGGGGAUAGAUUAUUGCAAUUAUUAAUCUUCAACGAGGAAUGCCUAGUAGGCGCAAGUCAUCAGCUUGCGUCGAUUACGUCCCUGCCCUUUGUACACACCGCCCGUCGCUCCUACCGAUUGGGUGUGCUGGUGAAAUGUUCGGAUCGGCCGUUUGUCGCGGUUUCCGCGUCAUGUGGCUAAGAAGUUCAUUAAACCCUCCCACCUAGAGGAAGGAGAAGUCGUAACA
rnacentral:rRNA from 1 species